GGCGAACUUGGCAUGGAACGGUUCAGAUUUAUUUUCACUGUUAGACAACUAAAUUUAACGAGCAAUCCAUGCAGCUGGAAAUAAAGUUGUCACAAAUCUCUAAAGUACAUUUUACAAAGUGUCCUGGGGGCGAGCCUCCGCCCUGGAUCAGCGCAAUUUGUUUACACUCCUUAGCGAUUUAUGUGGCAUUUAGGGGGCCAGAUGUGCCCCACCUCCUCCAACCCAUCCCCUUCCUCCACCCCAGCUCUCAAUAUCGGGAAAAACGGCCCCAGUCCAUUGUAAAUAUCACAUAAUCCACCGCAAACAAUUUUUCCGAGCUCUACGCUUUCCGCCGCACUUUUUUCCUUUUGCCUUUUAUUUUUUGAGGCCGCUCGCGGAGUAGGAAAAAUUUUAUUAAAAAGGCCCAGAACGACGGAAACUGAAAACCCUAGCGGUGGGAUAAUGGCGGCAGCAGAACAGUGAAGCGAUUUAUAAAAAGAAAACCAAAAUUACGCGACUUGUUUAAAUUCCGAAAAGCCAUUAAACGCAGCUGGGGCUCCGGACACGAAACACAAACUCAUAUCCAACAGCAAUGACUUCCCGGACCCCACAGCCCACAACCCAGAUCCCAGAUCCGAGAUCCCAGUUUCCCAGUUUCCAGAUUCUGUAUUCCCGGACAGAAUAAGAACCAGAACCGCAAUUAUCAUGAACGCAAUAUCCCGGCGCGAAGGGAGGGCCCAUGGCAAACACUUUGACGCAAAAACUUAAAUCGUUACAUAUUUAUAAACGAGCUGAGAAAGCCAGAAAACACACCCAUGUACAUAUAGAGAGUUUGGGAAAUUAGACAAGAGGGAAAAGCCAGGAAAUGGACAUCAAGUGGACACCAGCUGUAUGGCCAGUGGCAUCGCUGCUGUAUAUCAACACAUCAUAAUCCCAGGAGGGAGUUGAGGAGGAAAAGGUGGUGGAAAAUGCCUUAAAGGGGUUUUCCCGGACUCAACGGCAACCUGAGAGGAAGAUUGCUGGAAUUCGGAACUCCAGACGACGGCGCAAAAAGGCUAAGGCGAAAAAAGAUUUUUCUAGAUUUUUUAAAUGCCAUUAAACAUAAAUCUUAAACAGUUCCGGCUUAACCUUCAUAAGAUGGUGGAAACAGGUAAGGAAAUAAAGUAGCUACCGUAAUUUCCUGAUGAAAGUGAAAAUUGAAAAAGGCUUGGGAUUACUUUGUGAGUUGAAAGGUUGAAGGCUUCUUAAGAUUGUUGAUUCAAUUUGGUGGUAGCAAAGUUGAAGAUUUACAUUAGUAAAAUCUAAAAAUGAGUCCACAAAUAUUACCUAGAUUUUAGAAAUAUUUAGGGAAUAUAUUUGAUACAAAUCUUAAUCAGUUCCGGCUUGAAUUGAUUUUUCACUGUAAGAUAAUAAAAUAUUUUAAAAUCCGAAAGCUGUGUGUACUUGAAUACCACGAUUGAAUGAGCAAUAUAAAUCCUAUUUUGUGUAUUCACCAGGUAUUUAUUGGUCUUUAUCUUUGCGCACUUACCUCAAUGAAACGUUUCGGCCAUCACUUAUUGCGCUGAUCUAAUGACCCUACAACGCCCCAUAUUUUUCAAAGUUCUUAUCCCACCCAAAUCAUUGCAAACGCAAAAAACGAAGCGGAUGUAUAUAAUAGAACAAGACCUGAAUGGAAAUCCAAAGUGCAAACUCUGCGGAAAAGCGCCACUCCAAUGGGAUCUCCAAUCCACUUGCAAUCUCCACUAACCUUGUUCUUCUUUUCUCUUCUCCACUAGCGCUCCUUUGUCGGCGAUUUAUGGGUUUUUCCUGCUCCGGAAUGCUGGAUGCUACAUCCUCCCCCAUAGUUGUACACCCACACACACACAGGCACACCCACACACAUACAUACAAAGGCAGUACAAUAGUUUAAUUAACAUUAACGCUGACGCCAACUACUGAUGGCAAUAAAAAACCAUUAAAAGGAAUUUAUUUUA